GAUAGCAGUCCUAGGAUUUGGCUUUGAGCGUUGCUGUCACGCAGGCCUUCUGAUCUCCUACAAAGAUCCCUGAGCAGAUAGCAAUCGUACAUCGUCGCAGGACUUAGUCGACUUCUCGUACCGCAAGUUUAUUUUAAAAAAAAAUAUUUGAGAAAAUGGCCAUCUACCCGGAGCCGCCAAUAGGGAAUCUAACCUUACUUCAUGCGAUAGCAUAUGCAAGACAACAGAAGGGAUUGCAUAUUUAUUUUGACGAGCCACCAGCAAAGGCGCUCUCACUCUCUACUCCAAUACAGCAAAUACAGAAAUGCAACUGCAGCGACAUGAACAUCACGUUUGUUCUUCGAGCUCUUGAAGAUAAACCACAGUACAUCGUUGGAAUAGAAGAUGACAAGGACACCACAGCAAUGGAAGCAGGAGUCGGAGGACCUUCCUUCUGUUUCAUGGGGCGCGCAAAAGACGGCACUUGGAAGGACAAUGAUUGUUCCCAGGAAGCGUUUGUUGCCAAAAAGGACGACUUUCUUACCACCAAAUUUCUUAUCUCAAAUAAGGAUGGCUUCGGAAAAGGAAUUAGUCAAGUGGCGUGCGAGCAAAAUGGCAUACCUAUGAGAUGGUAUUCAUUCGUGACCAGCACGGCCGAGGAAUUCCGCAAUGUGUACUGCGCAUUUACUGCGAGAUCAAAGUAUGUGUUUCAUGUCCUCUGGCGGCUACGCUGUCAUGAAAGGCCGCUUCAAGACAGAGAACCCCCAAAUUAACGGCAUAGCAAUCGGCAUUGGUAAGGGGCACCAGCAUAUGUAUAAGACAUACGCCUACGGCAACAGCGAGCCUGCUACUUUCAUGAUAUAUGUAAAUGAUUUAAACACCACAGUCUCUGAUAAUAGGACGACACAAACAAUCACCACCAAAAUGCCAGGUGAUGAAUUCGUGUAUCUCGCGUUCAUCAAUAUGGAAGUAGAAGACAUGGAGAUCCACUCCGGUCGCCGCCCUCAUGACUGACUUAAUAGCACCAAUUCAAUCUUUUCGCAUUACGAUUUAUAAAUGAUUAAAUAAAGUUGAAUCACCAGCUCGUUCUUGUU